rnacentral:rRNA from 1 species
UCAGACGAUGCGUCAUGCAUAUCAAUAAGCGGAGGAAAAGAAACUAACAAGGAUUCCCUUAGUAACGGCGAGUGAAGCGGGAAGAGCUCAAAUUUGAAAUCUUAAAGGGUUUCCCUUUACGAAUUGUAGUUUAAAGAAGUGUUUUCUGUUGAGGUUUUGGUAAAAGUUCUUUGGAAUAGGACAUCAUAGAGGGUGAGAAUCCCGUAUUUGACCUUUACUUUCAACUUUGUGAUACACUUUCAAAGAGUCGGAUUGUUUGGGAAUGCAGUCCAAAAUGGGUGGUAAAUUUCAUCUAAAGCUAAAUAUUGGCGAGAGACCGAUAGCGAACAAGUACCGUGAGGGAAAGAUGAAAAGAACUUUGAAAAGAGAGUUAAAUAGUACGUGAAAUUGUCAAAAGGGAAGCGUUUGACACCAGUGUUGUUUUUCUGAAAAUCAAUUAAAGAACUGUUUAUGCUAAGCUGUUUAGACUUUAUCAGCUAUCUGUUUAGUUUUGAGCUUUUCUUUAAUGCACUUUUCAGUUAACAAGUCAACAUCAAUUUCUUUUGCUGUAAAAAAGCUUGAGGAAGGUGGCUUGAGAUUCGUCUUAAGUGUUUAUAGCCUCUUGCCUAUGCAGUCGGAGAGAUUGAGGUCUGCAGCGUAGAUCCUUCGGGGCUAAAUGCAUUUGUGCUAAGUUAUAGCAUUUUAUAGACAACUUGUUGACUAUGAUUUGUCUUGUAGCUUACUCGCUUAUGUUAUUUUACCUACGCUUAGGAUGUUGAGCGCAUGUCUCUCUCU